rnacentral:lncRNA from 1 species
GUCUUACUCCCUUGUAUUCGAGUGUUUGAAGGCAUUGAAAUUAUUAAUUGGAGCACUGCUGUAACUGCUGUAGAGCUGUGAUUUGGCCUUUUUUUUUUUUUUUUUUUUUUUUGACAGGGACUCACUGUGUUGCCCAGGCUGAAGUGCAGUGACACAAUCUCAGUUCACUGCAACCUUCACCUCCCAGGCUCAAGCGAUCCUCCCACUUGAGUCUCCCAAGGAUGGCCCAUUUUUCAGAUGUUGAUGUUGAUGAUGUCCCUGCCAGGAAAACCGGUCCAGAUUGGCCAGCUAUGAGAAUAAUUUCAAGUGGGUUUCAGAAAAAAUGGAAGGAACUACAGAUGGAAGAAAGGAAAGAGGAGAAAGAGAACAAGGUCUCUGUUUAUGGGCACCUCUGUUUGGUGAAGAUUGAGGAGAAACAUCGUGGAUUCUGAUUGUGACUUGAUUGAGGUGAAAUGCGUUCUUUAUAAGACUGGGCUUGCUCUCAGGGCUUUCAAGGACUCCUAUCUUUGGUACAUUGGAUUAAAAAUAUAAUCUCCAAAAAAUUGCCCUACAGUCCUUUUGUGCUGUGGUUUCUCUCUUUGCUUGUCUUUCUAUGUCAUCUCUCCUUGUUUCUGCUAUAGAGUGUUGGGCUCAAUGAUAGUGGCUCCUUGAAUAGGAGCACAGGAAAGCGAGGUUGGUGAAGAAAUAGCUAUGAGUAAACCAUUCUCACACAGCUAUAAAGAACUACCUGAGACUGGCUUAUUUAUAAAGAAAAGAGGUUUAAUUGACUCACAGUUCCACAUGCUGUACAGGAGGCAUGGCCGAGG